GGGGCCUCAUUUAUAAAGCGUGCGUACGCACAAAACGGGGCUGGAAACGUACGUACGCCAGUUCCCACGCAAAGGUUGUGAUCUAUAAAAAACAAACUUGACGGGAGAAUGUGCGCACCUUUAAGCAAACUUUGAGCCGUGCGUACGCACAUUCUGGAGACAAAGGGAAUUGGCGACACCGAUGGUGAGGUCGUGAACUGAAGUUAGAUUGUAGAAAAUAAAUGUGAGAAGAACGAUUAUAAGAAUGAAUGACAUUUAAUUUUCACUCCAUUUCAUACGUUAUAUCCACAUUAUCAUGAAGAUUAAAUCCAACAGUGUUAUUUGUGCCGAUUGUUUUAGGCUAUAUACAUCUAGUAAAAUCCAAACGUAAUUCAAAAUGUAUUAAAAGUAAAAUAAAAUAAUAAUCAGCGCUGCCUUACAGUCACAUUGUCCACAACGGGAGCACAGGAGGACAUGGCGCGAUACAUGUGAUAGCCUACAGAAUAGCAUGAAAUACCCUUUUAUUAGAGAACUGCAGAACACAGUGUAAAAAGGAAAUAUUUUCCUUAAUGUACAUAGCCUAUAUCAUAAAAUGUCAAAGUCUGCAAAUACAGUCAUGAAGCACAAUCGCUACUCAUCAUCGGUCCUAACUAUUACGGUGUUCAUUACAAAACCGUCAAGAAGCAUGUGUUCACUAUAACAUUUUCGUCUUAAAUUUUCGCCCACAAAUUAAUUAAGUGAUUUUGUCAAGGUGUUAACGAUCAGUCUAUUUGCUAGAAACAUAUAAAUUCUCCGGUGACCCGGGUAUGUAAUGCUUCAUGAUGGCACUCCUGGCACUGUUGGAGGAUUACGCUAAUGGCAGAAUAAGGAGAGAACGAGUUUUCAGGGACCAUGAUGAUUUCCUGGCCCAUGAUGAUGACUGGCUAAUAAGCCGAUUUAGAUUCCCUAGAGCUGUGCUCUUGGAUCUAUGUGCUGAAUUGGGUCCAGUAUUAGAGAGGGCAACACGCCGGAACCAUGCCAUCCCAGUCCAAAUACAAGUCCUCACCACUCUGGGGUUCUUGGCAACCGGCUGUUUCCAGCGGGAAUUGGCAGACAGGUCUGGUAUAUCACAGCCGUCCCUGAGUGCCAUAAUAUCUGUCGUUUUAAAUGGUAUACUUAAUAUGGUUAGUCGAUACAUCAGGUUCCCCUACACUGUGCGAGAACAGGCCGAAAUUAAAACGCAAUUUGCAGCAAUGUCUGGUUUCCCAAAUGUAAUCGGCGCAAUUGACUGCACUCAUGUUGCUAUAAGGGCACCAUCUGAAAAUGAAUUUGCUUAUGUUAAUAGAAAGCAUGUGCAUUCUAUUAAUGUGCAAAUCAUAUGUGACUCCAACAUGACCCUCACAAACAUUGUGGCACGCUGGCCUGGUUCAACACAUGAUUCCUUUAUCUUGACACAUAGCAGUGUUGGGAACAGACUAAAUGCAGGCGCAGUACGUGAUGGCUGGCUUCUUGCAUUACGACCCCGAGCCACAGCCCCCUGGCCGACAAGAGGGAUAUCAACGAGGUGCAAGAAUCCGUGAGGAUGUCAUGCGGCGUUUGUAAAGAAAGACAAAACUCAAGGACUGCGUCAGUGAGUACCCGACCACUUUUGGACGUGCCAGACGCAGAAGGGGCACUGCUUUGAGCCGGACGCUGUGCAUCUGCAUCUGAGAACCCCUCACCCUGAACCUCCUGUUCAUUUACAGCUUCAGACUCCGGAAGGACUGGAGGACAAACAAUUGGCAACAUUUAUCCAUUUAUCACCCCACACACUCAAAUGUACAGCGUUAAUGAUUAAAAAUCGGUUUAACCUUG